ensembl:lncRNA
AAUCUCUAUGGAUGCUCUAUAGGCCUAAGCUUACUCUGUGUCCAGGAAACAACUCACCUCCUACCGGGACGUCGAGGCCUCCCCUACCUACCGGGACGUCGAGGCCUCCCCUACCUACCGGGACGUCGAGGCCUCCCCUACCUACCGGGACGUCGAGGCCCCCCUACCUACCGGGCGAGCGAGGCCUCCCCCCUACCUAACGGGACGUCGAGGCCUCCCCAACUACCGGACGUCGAGGCCCCCCUACCUACCGGGACCGACGAGGCUCCCCUACCUACCGGGACGUCGAGGCCUCCCCUACCUACCGGGACGUCGAGGCCUCCCCUACCUACCGGGACGUCGAGGCCCUCCCCUACCUACCGGGACGUCGAGGCCUCCCCUACCUACCGGGACUCGAGGCCUCCCUACCUACCGGGACGUCAAGGCCUCCUCUACCGGGACGUCAAGGCCUCCUCUACCGGACGUCAAGCCUCCUCUACCGGGACGUCAAGGCCUCCUCUACCGGGACGUCAAGGCCUCCUCUACCGGGACGUCAAGGCCUCCUCUACCAGGACGUUAAGGCCUCCUCUACCAGGACGUUAAGGCCUCCUCUACCAGACGUUAAGGCCCCUCUACCAGGACGUUAAGGCCUCCUCUACUAGAGUUAAGGCCUCCUCUACCAGGACGUUAAGGCUCCUCUACCAGGCAGAAGUUAGGCCUCCCUACCAGGACGUUAAGGCCUCCUCUACCAGGACGUUAAGGCCGCACCCACCUCUGCUACCAGGACGUGUGGCUGCAUCCUCUUUCUGAUUUCAUGAUGCGGACGAUGGCCGCCUCGAUCUCAUGCUUCCUGUCGUCAUCCACCUUCCUGCCGCGCGUCUCCUUCCUCUCUGGGUCCGACUCGCCCUGGCUAGCAGCGACUGGAGGAGAGAGACCGCAACCUUAGCACAGCGGAGGGAGGGCUGGCAACCCAGCGGAGGGGGGCUGGGGGGGCCCGCAACCUCAGCACAAGGCCACGUUCAGUAGCCGAACGUUGCAGAUAGAAAUACCACAAAUAAGCCCGCCAAUUAUUUUGCAAAACACGACAUGUCAGAGAAGCAUGUUUGUUCUAAAUAGCAUAUCUCUAUUUGCGCAUCCUUCCAGACCAGAAGACCACUGUGACAUGGGUCCUUUAAUCAUUUAGAAUAACAGAGACACACACCCGUCUGUAUUUUGACUCUGUGCACUUGGAGGUAAACUGAUCGUUGACUGUAAACACUGGCCGUUCUCGAUCUCCUUGGACUUGGGCUCCUUGGGAGAACGCGCUGGGGGGCUUCCGCAGGCCAGCGACUGCAGCGCUCGCACCAGCUCCCUCUCCGGGAUGUCGUUCUCCUGCUGGAUCUCCUACAGGUGGGGACGGAGUGGAAGAGAGGGUAAAGGAGGAGCAGAGGAGUGAAGAGGAAGUGGAGCGAAAAAAUGUGGGGAAGGAGGAGGAAGAAGAUUUGUUUUCUUUCAGCUUGCCAUAUUUAUCUGUGAAUUCUAACACUUUGAUGCGAUGGAGACUGACCUGUAUCUGGCUCUUACCUCAAACCGUGGACUUUUCUCUGUGUUGAGAGUAGGAGGAGGGUCAUCUGGAAGGUGGAGACCUGCAGUAUGUGCUUCCUGGUGUUAGAGCCCGUCACCUGGGCUCCUCCCACUCCCACCUCCGAACCAUCCUCCUGGAGAGACGGAGAGAGACUGUGACUGACCCAACUUGACUAUGUAAGACUCAGUGAGCAUAGCCUUGCUAUUGAGAAAGGGCCGUAG